rnacentral:lncRNA from 1 species
UUUGAUUCUUUGUUUCCUUUAGUUUUCAUUCUCUCCUCUUCAGAACAAGAGUAGAUGGUUCGGUGUAUGCAAAUAUCACAGUUCCAGGUAACUUGAAGGAGCAGUUUGGAUUUAGAAACCCACACCUGUGACUGAUGGGAGUGGUGGACAAAUACCCACAACUUCCUCUCUCUACUCUUGGCUGAGGACAAUUCUGAAGUGAGCCCUACACUGUCUCCCAGAUGCAGUCUGACCUGAGCCACGAAGAAGUGCAGAGUCCCCAAGAGGCCAGAGAGCUCACGUCUGGUUAGAGUCAGGGUGUUUGAUGGGAAGAUGAAAGGAGGAGCUGGCAUCUGAGAGUACCUACAAUGUGCCAGACCUUAAUAAACUCCAGGG